GGGCUAGCCUCAAGGUGAGAGAUACGGAGGUAGAGCACUGAAUGUCCUAGGGGGUAUUGCACCUACCGAAGACUAUCAAACUCCGAAUGCCGUCAUCUUAUACUUGGGAGUCAGACUGUGGGUGAUAAGAUUCAUAGUCGAAAGGGCAACAGCCCAGAUCGUCAGCUAAGGUCCCUAAAUGUAAGUUAAGUGGUAAAGGAUGUGGGAUUGCACAGACAACCAGGAUGUUGGCUUAGAAGCAGCCACUCAUUCAAA
rnacentral:rRNA from 1 species